GGGUUGUGAGGUUAAGCGACUAAGCGUACACGGUGGAUGCCCUGGCAGUCAGAGGCGAUGAAGGACGUGCUAAUCUGCGAUAAGCGUCGGUAAGGUGAUAUGAACCGUUAUAACCGGCGAUUUCCGAAUGGGGAAACCCAGUGUGAUUCGUCACACUAUCAUUAACUGAAUCCAUAGGUUAAUGAGGCGAACCGGGGGAACUGAAACAUCUAAGUACCCCGAGGAAAAGAAAUCAACCGAGAUUCCCCCAGUAGCGGCGAGCGAACGGGGAGCAGCCCAGAGCCUGAAUCAGUGUGUGUGUUAGUGGAAGCGUCUGGAAAGGCGCGCGAUACAGGGUGACAGCCCCGUACACAAAAAUGCACAUACUGUGAGCUCGAUGAGUAGGGCGGGACACGUGGUAUCCUGUCUGAAUAUGGGGGGACCAUCCUCCAAGGCUAAAUACUCCUGACUGACCGAUAGUGAACCAGUACCGUGAGGGAAAGGCGAAAAGAACCCCGGCGAGGGGAGUGAAAAAGAACCUGAAACCGUGUACGUACAAGCAGUGGGAGCACGCUUAGGCGUGUGACUGCGUACCUUUUGUAUAAUGGGUCAGCGACUUAUAUUCUGUAGCAAGGUUAACCGAAUAGGGGAGCCGAAGGGAAACCGAGUCUUAACUGGGCGUUAAGUUGCAGGGUAUAGACCCGAAACCCGGUGAUCUAGCCAUGGGCAGGUUGAAGGUUGGGUAACACUAACUGGAGGACCGAACCGACUAAUGUUGAAAAAUUAGCGGAUGACUUGUGGCUGGGGGUGAAAGGCCAAUCAAACCGGGAGAUAGCUGGUUCUCCCCGAAAGCUAUUUAGGUAGCGCCUCGUGAAUUCAUCUCCGGGGGUAGAGCACUGUUUCGGCAAGGGGGUCAUCCCGACUUACCAACCCGAUGCAAACUGCGAAUACCGGAGAAUGUUAUCACGGGAGACACACGGCGGGUGCUAACGUCCGUCGUGAAGAGGGAAACAACCCAGACCGCCAGCUAAGGUCCCAAAGUCAUGGUUAAGUGGGAAACGAUGUGGGAAGGCCCAGACAGCCAGGAUGUUGGCUUAGAAGCAGCCAUCAUUUAAAGAAAGCGUAAUAGCUCACUGGUCGAGUCGGCCUGCGCGGAAGAUGUAACGGGGCUAAACCAUGCACCGAAGCUGCGGCAGCGACACUUAUGUGUUGUUGGGUAGGGGAGCGUUCUGUAAGCCUGUGAAGGUGUACUGUGAGGUAUGCUGGAGGUAUCAGAAGUGCGAAUGCUGACAUAAGUAACGAUAAAGCGGGUGAAAAGCCCGCUCGCCGGAAGACCAAGGGUUCCUGUCCAACGUUAAUCGGGGCAGGGUGAGUCGACCCCUAAGGCGAGGCCGAAAGGCGUAGUCGAUGGGAAACAGGUUAAUAUUCCUGUACUUGGUGUUACUGCGAAGGGGGGACGGAGAAGGCUAUGUUGGCCGGGCGACGGUUGUCCCGGUUUAAGCGUGUAGGCUGGUUUUCCAGGCAAAUCCGGAAAAUCAAGGCUGAGGCGUGAUGACGAGGCACUACGGUGCUGAAGCAACAAAUGCCCUGCUUCCAGGAAAAGCCUCUAAGCAUCAGGUAACAUCAAAUCGUACCCCAAACCGACACAGGUGGUCAGGUAGAGAAUACCAAGGCGCUUGAGAGAACUCGGGUGAAGGAACUAGGCAAAAUGGUGCCGUAACUUCGGGAGAAGGCACGCUGAUAUGUAGGUGAAGUCCCUCGCGGAUGGAGCUGAAAUCAGUCGAAGAUACCAGCUGGCUGCAACUGUUUAUUAAAAACACAGCACUGUGCAAACACGAAAGUGGACGUAUACGGUGUGACGCCUGCCCGGUGCCGGAAGGUUAAUUGAUGGGGUCAGCGCAAGCGAAGCUCUUGAUCGAAGCCCCGGUAAACGGCGGCCGUAACUAUAACGGUCCUAAGGUAGCGAAAUUCCUUGUCGGGUAAGUUCCGACCUGCACGAAUGGCGUAAUGAUGGCCAGGCUGUCUCCACCCGAGACUCAGUGAAAUUGAACUCGCUGUGAAGAUGCAGUGUACCCGCGGCAAGACGGAAAGACCCCGUGAACCUUUACUAUAGCUUGACACUGAACAUUGAGCCUUGAUGUGUAGGAUAGGUGGGAGGCUUUGAAGUGUGGACGCCAGUCUGCAUGGAGCCG
rnacentral:rRNA from 1 species